rnacentral:rRNA from 1 species
UGCAAGUCGAACGGUAACAGGUUAAGCUGACGAGUGGCGAACGGGUGAGUAAUAUAUCGGAACGUGCCCAGUCGUGGGGGAUAACUGCUCGAAAGAGCAGCUAAUACCGCAUACGACCUGAGGGUGAAAGCGGGGGAUCGCAAGACCUCGCGCGAUUGGAGCGGCCGAUAUCAGAUUAGCUAGUUGGCGGGGUAAAAGCCCACCAAGGCGACGAUCUGUAGCUGGUCUGAGAGGACGACCAGCCACACUGGGACUGAGACACGGCCCAGACUCCUACGGGAGGCAGCAGUGGGGAAUUUUGGACAAUGGACGCAAGUCUGAUCCAGCCAUGCCGCGUGUGGGAAGAAGGCCUUCGGGUUGUAAACCACUUUUGUCAGGGAAGAAACGGUCUAGGUUAAUACCUUGGGCUAAUGACGGUACCUGAAGAAUAAGCACCGGCUAACUACGUGCCAGCAGCCGCGGUAAUACGUAGGGUGCAAGCGUUAAUCGGAGUUACUGGGCGUAAAGCGUGCGCAGGCGGUUAUGCAAGACAGAUGUGAAAUCCCCGGGCUCAACCUGGGAACUGCAUUUGUGACUGCAUGGCUAGAGUACGGUAGAGGGGGAUGGAAUUCCGCGUGUAGCAGUGAAAUGCGUAGAUAUGCGGAGGAACACCGAUGGCGAAGGCAAUCCCCUGGACCUGUACUGACGCUCAUGCACGAAAGUGUGGGGGAGCAACAGGAUUAGAUACCCUGGUAGUCCACGCCCUAAACGAUGUCAACUGGUUGU